UACGGAGGGGGUUAGCGUUGUUCGGAAUGACUGGGCGUAAAGCGCGCGUAGGCGGGCUGGAAAGUUGGGGGUGAAAUCCCGGGGCUCAACCCCGGAAUGGCCUUCAAAACUCCCAGCCUAGAGUUCGAGAGAGGUGAGUGGAAUUCCGAGUGUAGAGGUGAAAUUCGUAGAUAUUCGGAGGAACACCAGUGGCGAAGGCGGCUCACUGGGCUCGACACUGACGCUGAGGUGCGAAAGCGUGGGGGAGCAAACAGG
rnacentral:rRNA from 1 species